CGGGAGAGUCACGCUUUGUGUAAGGAUGGCCACGCACCCUUAACCAAACACAGACAUCCAUUUUGCUGAAUAAGACCGAAAGAGGUCUUUCGACAAGUGAGGGAAAGAUGACCCAAGCCUCGCCCUCUCUUUGGUAUUUCUGAGAAGAUCCUGUUACAAUUCCCGCCCACCCGCGUUCACAUCAGGCAAGGAGGGCAGGGACCCCCAGGACUCCAUCCUGCUGCAGACACACACUCCGUAAUUUGCCUUGAGUGGAACUGAACUUCAGAUGACCCCAGCCAGAGAAGUAAGCAAAUGAACCUAAAUAAUUUCCAGUGGCCAAGACGGCAUGCAUUUUGAGUUUUCUUUCUCUUCCGCACCAGCAAACUGCACCUUGGUGAUUGCAUCUUUGCUCGGACGAGGACAGAACCCCACGCUCACCCCGGUUCGUCAGUAACAGUCUGCCGGUGACCUUCGCAAAGCAGAAAAUGUACCUGCAAAGGCUGGAGGGGUGGACUGCUUCCUCACACGUCCCGGAUGUGAAAGAGCGCAGCCCAUUUGCACGCUGAUGGAACCUUCCAGAGAGCAGGGCCCCUGGCUGCCUACAUUCCUGUCUGAAAGUGCACCUCAAGGACGGUAAAGGACCCUCCUCAACCCUCUUGUACACUCGUGGGGACAGGUGUCGCGGGGCCCAGAGCUCGUAACACUUGGGAGCCCUUCUUAACACACAGAACAGAGCGGUGAUGCAGUGGGUCCGGGUCGGGGAGGGUCCUUCUGCCGGCUCCAGGGCCUUGGUAGGCGAGUGCCUGAGCCCGCCAGCCGGUCUCUCCUGAGCCCUUGGACCAAGCAUUUAGCUCUUCUGGGACUUCAUUUCUUCACAGUGCAAGUGAGGCGGGGCUCUGGGUCGUCUGACACUUUAACGAACCCCAUUCGCCUUCGGGAAACGUUUCCGCUCGCACGUCGGUGUCAUAACGGGCUCAGCACCACCCGUGACCAGCAGGUGGUUUUGUACUGGAAGCUUCUGGCUCAAUAGUGCAAGAUAAAUGCAACCCCGGGGGUUUUUACUGAAACGGGUAUACCUUGGGGCUCUUAAUUAUGUCCCAUCUUAAAACGUCUGACCCUAAUGGCUGAUAUGAAAGAAACCACGCGAGGGUUCAAUUAACCUGCAAAUCUGUAUCCUGUCCCUGGGAUCGAACAUUUAUACAUAACUGUUCUUACGGCAACCAAAGGCAGCAAUUCCAGAGGUUUCGCUUUGGUGAGGAAAAUAGAAUUAGCUUCUGUUUGGCAGAGGGCAUGUUUCACAGGCUACUAAAAGAAAUGCAAACAAGCCUGGAUCAUAGGGAUCAUCGGUGAUUUUAUCUCUACGGUAGCCGAAGAUACGGCCGGGUUUGCACAAAGGAAAGCGGUCUAUUCUGUGACAGAUUUGAAGAAACGUUAAAUGUCCCUAAGAUCCUGUGUCCUCAGAUGUGGCCUCACUAAUUAGCCCCGGGAGCCAGCGGCGUGACAGAACCCCACGUGUCCUGCCACCCCCCCGCCCACGCCGGAGUCCUGUCCACCCCGGGAAGGACCUCACAGACCAGCCAGGGCCCAGGACACAUCCCGAUCCUGCGAGCUUGCCCACAUCUCCGUGUACGUAACCUUCCCAGUGGCUUGGCCAGCACAGGACCAGGGCCCCGGGUGGGUUAGGAAAAUCGUCCCGUGUGGGUGUGCGUGUGGGUGUCCCGGCCGAUCCCAAGCCGUGAUCAGAAGCUGGUUUCUCUCUUCUCAGCCCCUGACUCCCAGUUCCCUCCCUUCUAAGUGUCUCCCCCUCCGUCCCUCUCUCUCUCUGUCCCACGGGGCAGCCGAGGGCCCCCAGCUUCAUGCUUUGCCCUGCCAGUCGAGGGCUGCGGUCGGUUGGGACACUUUAAGCCUUGGGACCACCCUUGGCCUGUGGGCCGCAGGUGGGAUUUCGUGAUUUGUCUGGACUUCAGCCCCAGAGCCGAGGCACGGGGCCAGCUGCCCCGAGUGCACGCGCUACCAGAGGCGGUAUCUCAGACGGAGGGGACGUGGGACUCUGAGCGGUGGCGUCCUCAGCUAAGAGAGGGCAGGACGCCGCUUAGGGCUUCCGCACAGACAUUCACUUUCCAGAAUGGCAGGAGACACCUUCACCGAGCCCUGCAUGAGAAGAAAGCAAACCUCACACAGACUCACGGCCGCCCUUGGCUCGGGCCUUCGGGUGAGGUGAAGCCCUCUCACCUCACCUGGGGGUAGCUCCUGAGGGUCUGGGGACCCGUGGCUGCCCCCCCCCCACCAUGGUAGAGGGAAACAGGGGCUCGUUGUAAAAGAGGAGGGAGGAAACCCCACAGCCUGGCCCUUCGGGGUGGACAGAACAGCCCGGGCUCCUGGGAGAAUAUCCCGCAGGCCCGGGCCCACGGGGCCACCCCAGGGCCUGGCGCUGAGGUGCCUUCCAGCCAGCGCAGCGUGAGGCCACUCGCCGGCUGGAGGCAUCUGAGGGCUGAGGAGACCUCACCGUCAGCAUCAGUCUCCCUGGCAACACAGUGUUUUUGACAAGUCAGGCUUCUGUCCUAUUAGUUUCCUGUCGGUUGCUUAGUAACCGCCCAGGGCUCGUUCUCAGUCACUGUGUGUGAGCCAGCAUGCGGGGACUCGAUCCUGGAACAGGGCGUCCCUCUGCUUCGCUCUGCACCGAAGUGCUUUGCCCUGCGCCGGUGGGAGGCGGUGGGAGGGGCACGUCCUGUCCACCCCGCGACGGCAGAUGGCGGAGAGCCAGUAGCCUGGGGUCCGCUUGAAGGUCAGGCUCACCGUCUGUCCCCAUCUUCCCUUUUUGCCAAGUCCCUGCUGUCCCUGGGCUCGGCCCUGUGGGGAGACACCCCUGCAAGGCUCCUGGUCCCCAGGCUGCCCCAUAGACUGGAUGGCAUGCUAGAGGGAGACAGGUGUCCUGAACACCAAGCCAGCGUUUGGCUCCGCUCUGUCCACAGAUGGUGGCCAGCUGCAGGGCAAGCUUAUCUGCUUCCUGAGGUGCUCAGUGCUCCCCCCGCCCCAAUGGGACUUGUCCUAACAUCCUGCUGUCCUGCGGCCGCAUGCCUCCAGGUGUCAUUGGCCAGCCGACGUCGUGUAGCUGUGUGUUCACUCUCAAAUGUCAAGGACGGCCAGUCACUGCCCGUCUCCAGUGCAGCCCGUUCUAUAUUCAUUCCGUGUAAAGCUGCUGGUAACGACAUCACACUCCGGGACCAAAUUACGUAUCGGGUGCAAGUGGAAGAGAGCCAACGUGACCAUGGCUUGAGCAAUAAAAGGGCUCCACUGCAUGCUGCCACAGGAAGGUCACAAAGAAUGCUGCCUUCAGGUCGAACGUGCUUCUCCGACCGACGCCUGCUGUCUGCCCGUCGAUGCAGCGCUGAUGACGUGACAUCGCAGGGUGAAGCGAGAGAGCGGCAUCCGCCGUCUUCGGGGCCUGGGCACCUGGUCCCCUUGCAGCCUCGCGCUGCGCGAACCCCUCCCUGAGCGAGCGUGCGGCCCCCGCGCACCUCGGGGCGUCAGGACUAGCCGCCCGCGGUGCCCGACGGAGACCCCGCGGCCCUUCUCCCGCGCCCACACACACCUGCCCCGAGGCCGAACGACGCCAAACCCCAAUCGCACGAGGCCGCUCACCGGCGAAAAGGAACUCACAUUUCUAACAUUUCGUGGGGAAUUUAGGGGGCUCGAUCCUGCCUUUCCAAACAUUUUCUGGUCCCGUUCUCUCUCUCCCCCAUCCACUGCCCUUCUCUCCAUAUCUUUAUAUAUACUUAGAUGUGUGCAAAUAACACCUUACAAGCGGUGGGGUGUGCCUUGGGAUGGGAAUCGGAGGCCGCACCCUGGGCGGUGGCAAUGCCGCUGUGGGCCCCUCAGCGUCGGCGACAGGUGGUGUCUCAGCUGAGCGGAAAGUGCGCUCGAGGUCCUGAGGGGUUCGAAGAUGCUUAUCUUGCAGACCAGGAGAGGCGUUACAAGUGCUCACGCCUGUCAGUGCUUAGGUGUGGGGCCCAGUGCUGUCCCUGCCCUUCCCUGCCCUGACCCCGGGGGUCCAGUGUUGCCCCUGCCCGUCCCUGUCCUGACCCCUGGAGGCCCCUGGAGGGAGGGGGCCCUUGGUGCGACAGUGAUGGCUGAGCCAGGAGCGACUGGUAACACAAUUACUCAAGCACUCCCUGCUUGCAGUUGAAAGUUAGAA